rnacentral:rRNA from 1 species
AUUGAACGCUGGCGGCAGGCUUAACACAUGCAAGUCGAGCGAGCGGCGGACGGGUGAGUAAUGUCUGGGAAACUGCCUGAUGGAGGGGGAUAACUACUGGAAACGGUAGCUAAUACCGCAUACCAUCAGAUGUGCCCAGAUGGGAUUAGCUAGUAGGUGGGGUAAUGGCUCACCUAGGCGACGAUCCCUAGCUGGUCGGAGAGGAUGACCAGCCACACUGGAACGGAGACACGGUCCAGACUCCGACGGGAGGCAGCAGUGGGGAAUAUUGCACCAUGGGCGCAAGCCUGAUGCAGCCAUGCCGCGUGUGUGAAGAAGGCCUUCGGGUUGUAAAGGACUUUCAGCGGGGAGGCGUUACCCGCAGAAGAAGCAGCGGCUAACUCCGUGCCAGCCGCCGCGGUAAUAC